rnacentral:misc_RNA from 1 species
GAGAAUUCAAUAUGAAAUUCUUGGAUUUCUCCUUAUGAAUGUUCUCUUCUCCUCCGUUGUUUCAUUCGACCCAUAAACAUUUUCUUUUUCUCAUGUUUUUUAUAUCCCUCACAACCCCCAACCACAACCACCCAUAUACCUUCCUCAACAGUCAACCCACCGCGUUGCCAUCACCAAACCCUUACCUAUCAUUGGACGGCUUCCCCAAUGUAACUCCAAUCACUAGAAACAAUUAUUUAAGGGACAAUUAAAGCUUGAAUUUUGUUCUAGUGAGAUUUUACGUGGGCUGAAAUUUAAAGAUUACAAGCUGCCAAUAAAUCUUAUAAGGAACAUUUAGAUGAUGUUUAUUGUUUGAGAGAUGCAUAUGGUAGACUGAAUUUUGUUCUCUGACUUGAAGCAUGGAAGAAGAAAUAUAAGUUGGAACAAGCAUAUUGGAAAA